GGCGUGAGGAGUUAGCUCGCUUUUCCUCGUGGGGCAGCCUGGCAGGGAGAUAAACCGAGUUUUAUUGUCUCCCACAGAAAAACUUCACUGAAAUAUUGAAAAGCCCCCUGGAAAUAUUUGCCCUUGUUAAGCACACCGAAGCCUUUCUUCUUCCUUGGAUAAUGCAGCACUAGGGGCCUGAGGAGGUUGGCAGGAGUGUCUGAGCCACACUGUCUUUAAAAUGCUUUUUUUAAGAAGGAUACAGGUUUAAGUUCCCCUAUCAAAAAUAACUUGAAAAAAGCUCUUGAAUGAAAAAAUAACUUGGAAGAAGGAGCAGAGAAAAAAGCCAAAAACUGGGAUGUUGAGGAAAAACACAGUCAUUAUAGUUUUAAUUUGAUAAUUAAUGACUUUGAAAAUUAGGUGUUUGUCUGUGGAUUGUAACUCAAAGAGUACAAUAUGCUUGUUACACUUGGGGAAUUCCAGUCAAACUAAUGGUCCUGAAAGGGAUAAAAGAAAAAGAACACUUUGCAGAAGGUGCAGCAAUGCUAAGAAUGGAAAAGGGACGCCAUUCCAAAGUGCACAGGAGAAAAUGUGCUGCAACCAUCUUUCUGAAACUCAUGGCAGGUAAAAAACUUCUGGACUUCUGGUACCAGCAGGCAUGUUUUAAGAUUUUAUUAUUCUGAUCAUAUCAUGUGAUACUAGAUUAAUUUUUGAGUUGAAGGUACUUCAAGAAAGAUGUUGUGCAGCUUAAAAUAAAAAGCUGCCUUCAUAGGGGCACUAGAAUGAUUUUAGUUACAUUUACUUUUUGUAAAGUAAAUGUUUUGUUUUUGUAGUAAUGAUUCAGAAACCAAUUCUGUGAAUGAAAGAGGCCAUUGUCAAUGAUAGUUUUGAAGUUUGCAGUCAUAAGUCCAAGGAAGGAUGUGACACUGAGCAUCCUGUAGCCAGCGAUCUGGUCUAAUGGGACAGCUGGUGGCAAAAGGAAAUACAAGACACUUUAUAAUACAUGUAAUCCUAAACCUCCACAGGUGAUAGGACCAAUUUUAAUUUAGUUGUUUUUUUUUUUUUUCUUUUUAAUUAUUAUUAUUUUAAGAAGGUAGAUUCUCAUCUGUCAGUAAUAAUUGUUGGGUCUGGGCAAUUCUGUGGAUAAUAGAAGUUUAUUCCUUUGGCUCAUAUUAGUAGCUGACUGGUUUUUGCUAGGAUUGCAUUUCCUUCAGUGAAAAUACAUAGUUUGUACAUAUGUUUUGUGAUACCACAGAACAUGGUCCUGCUAUUUGUUUACUGAAUAUAUUUGAGCAGAUUAAUGAACAAUAACCAUCAACUGGAGUACUUGAAAAACAAGCAUCACUUUUAUGCCUUCAAAAUUUAUAAUAUGACAAGCAUUUUCUUAACCCCUACUCUAAAAUCCAAGGACAAGCUUUUAAACUAGAUUUUGAUUAAGUAUCACUGAAAUAGCAAGGGAGUCAUGCCAGACUGACUUUUUCAAGUAUCAGUGAGAAAUUUGAAUUUCUCACUGAUAUGGAUGAUGCCUUCCACUAGCAGGGUGGGUUUUCUGAUUUUUGUUACACUGUGAAAAAACCUGAACAUUAGACUUGUCAGUUAAAUUAAGAUUUUAAGCCAAGACAGCGUAAAGCUAAAGUGUAUCUUUUAUGAUUUAAAAAAAAAUAGCUUCUUGCCAAAGAUUCAUACAAAUUAUUUAAUCUUGAUUGCCUAAGAUGGCUAUUUUAAUUUGGACACAAGACUGUUUAAAAAUAUGUAUGUGUGUAUAUAUAUCUAAAAGAUAAUUAUUAAAUCCCUAUGCUUUAAGAAAAAUAUAGGGGUCCUGAAAUCAUAAAGUAAAAUUCAGUGAACCAAUCUUUUAAAAGAAAAAUAAUUGUAAUUUUUUGUUGCUUUCCUACUUUGAGUAUCUCACCUGAAAAUCUGUUCCUUGCCAUGUUUUUCUCCUGUAAACUAUUCAACUAUGUGAAUUUUCAGGGGCUGAAUUUGAAAUUGCUCCUGCUGUUCGUGGCCUGGUGUGUAUCUGAAUGCCUCAGUAUCUCCCUGCUGAAUGAAAUGUUUUCUGACCUGAAUUCACUUGAGUUCAUUGACUGGCUGCUCAGUCUUGGUGCUGUUCCAGAAGAGCUAUUGAAGGAAAAGAUGCAAGAAUGCAGAGGGGGAUCUGAUCUGUCAGAGAUGUACUAAGUGCAAGGUGCAUAGAAUAUUUUUCAGACUUUAUUAACUUUUUAGAUAGAUGUGGUGGGUUGACCCUUGCUGGGUGACAGAUGCCCACCAAACCACACCCACUCUGUCACUGCUCUCCACAGCUGGACUAGGGAGAAAAAAAUGGAACAAAAGGAACAAAUUGAGACCAGGGAGAGAUCCUUACCCAAUACCAUCAUAGGCAAAACAGACCUGGGGAUAUUAACUGAAUUUAUUACCAGUCAAAAUCAGAGCAGGAUACUGAGAAGUUAAAUCUUAAUAGCAUCAUCCUCCCCUCCCUCCCUCCUUUCCAGGCAGUGGAGGGAGACAGGGAAUGGGAGCACAUUCAGUUUAUCACACGUUAUUUCUGUCCCUGCUCAGGGAGAAGAGUCCAUGGCUGGCUCCAGCAUGGGGUCCCUCCCAGAGGAGACAGCUCUCCAUGAGCCUUUCCAGCACGGGUCCCUUGCUGUGAGGAGCAGUCUUCAGGCACAGCCUGUUCCAGUGGUUCCCCAUGGGAUCACAAGUCUACCAGGAAACCUGCUCCAGUGGGUUCCUCUCUACAGCUCCACAGGUUCCUGCCUGCUCCAGCACAGGCUUCCCCUGGAGUCACAGCCUUCUUUCAGGCAUCCACCUGCUCUGGUGUGGUGUCCUCCACAGGCUGCAGGUGGAUCUCUGCAUCCCUGGGCUGCAGGGGCACAGCUGCCUCACCAUGGGCUGCAGGGGAAUCUUGGCUCCUGCACCUGGGGCACCUCCUGCCCUUCCUUCUCUACUGACCUUGGCUGUUCCUCUCGUUCUCUUCCUCUUAUUCUCACCAGUCUGAGUGCAAUUACAUGGGUGCCAUAACCUUUUUUUCCUUCCUAAAUAUUUUAUCACAGAGGUGUUAGCCCAGCCUUGGCCGCUGGCACCCCUGUCCUGCAGCUGGCUGUGUCCUGGAGAGAGCUGGCAUUGGCUCUGUCAGACACAGGGAGAAACUUCUGGCAGCAUCUCUCAGAAGCCAACCCUCUAAGUCCCCCCAGCUAACAAAACCUGGCCACACAGAACCAGUACAGGUACAGUGAAAACAGUUAACUUCCUGAUAUUGAUAACUUCCUCUAACAAUGAACAAAAAUGUCUCUCUGGAUUUCCCUUCAGAGCCAUGGCAAGGAACUGGGGUCUUUGCCAUAUCACAUGGCAAAGAAAAGCAGAUGAAAUCUGCUGACUGACAAACUGCGUACCAUUAUCACAUCCGAGUCACCUGGAAAUUUGCCUUUUGGUUGUGAAGACUGUCCCCUCAUCUCAACCUGCAGCUAGACUGCUCUCCUCAUGGGGAAAUGUUCCAUCAAGAUUCAUACAGCUGCCACUGGAUCACUCUAAAACCCUUUCCAAAACAAUGUCUGUCAGAGUGCCAGUUGUUUGGCACAGCUGAGCUGCCACAGCUAUAAUGAACUGUGUUGUCAUGGUUCCUCUCAGCCCUCCACCUUUCCCUCCUGGUCACCUGCUGCACAUCUGCUCUGCACAUCUGCUGGUGGUUGCUAUGGGCAACCUCACCUCUGGUAGGGAAACAGCUGCUCCUGGGAGCCUGUCCUGCUCUUAACCCUUCCUACCCCCACCUUGGAUGAAAUGCAUUGACUUUGUCCUGCUUCAGCAUUUUGCUGGAAAGGAGGGACAGAACUGUGGGUAAGACAGAGGAGAAGUACGCGAUGGCAAGGCAGUGAAUAGCAGUGAUUAUAUUCCACCUCUGGGAGAGUGAGUGGUUCAAAGAGAUCUGGAGCAGGCCUGAGGUGGGUUACUGGGGUGGCAAUACAUCUGUGCCUAGAAAUACUGGGCAGUAUGGACUUUUAGAAUCUCUGUUUUACUGAAAUAUUGAUACAUUGCCCAUCAUUAACUUUUACAGUGUCUCAUUCUGAGCCUUGGGAUUUUCCAUAUGCUGGAAGAACAGAAAAAAAAUCAAAGAUAACAGUUGUUACUCUCAAACUGGAUGUAGAAGUGACAAAAUGGUACUAACUUGGGAUCUGCUCUUUGUUGCAGGUAUUUUCAAAAUUGCAUGCAAAUUCUUUCAAGUUCUUGAGGUAACUCCAGAACUGUUCCAGUGUAGCAUGAAACACAUUAAUGACAGGUUGUUUACUUGGCAGCACAAGAGAACUGGUGCUUAUAUCUUGUUCCAUCAAGAUGGUGUUUUAUAUAUGUGUGUGUGUGUGUGUGUGUGUGUGUAAGUAUGACAGUUCUUUCUUGCAGGAAUGCUUGCAGUCAGUAAGUGGCUGAAGGACUCAUCUGGUUGUCUGAUCUUUAGGAAAGCACUACUAAUCUAUAAUCCAAACCCAUGGCUUACAGGUUCCAAGUUUGUCUUUAGGAAACCAAAAUAAAAUAUAAAAAAAAAUCAUUUUGCUAAGGAAAAAAAACCAACUCACAAAUGCAAGUUCCUUAUCAGCCACACAAAUGUCAUUGCACACACAUAUCUCAAUUUUAUCAAGUUAUAAAAGGUUGGGAAAUCAACCAACUUACCUCUAGUGAACAGUGGCACUCUUGUAAUUGAACAGGUAAUUAAGCUCAUAUCUCCAUGGCACAGGUGAGCUCUCAGCCUGACAGGCUCAGAUUACAGGAACUGACAUACAAGGUUCCACUAUGCAAUACAGUUUAAUGAGACUGCAUUGAACUGUGGGGGCCAUGAUGUUAGCAAAGAAAGCCUACAGUGCACUCCUGGAGAUGAUACAUUAUCUCCUGGGGGCUGGAUAACAAAUUGAUCUUUAUUCUAAGUUGUUAACAAGUUUUUGCAUGACACUUAGCCCAUGAAGGUUCUUGACCCUGGUUAUGACUUCUGUAAAUUUGACAAGUUCCACCACUGACAGACACUUUGACUGCUGGAUAUCCUGCACAGAAGGAAGCAGAAGUGGAUGGAUGCAGACUUCCCAGCCCCAGCCAGGUUGAGGUAGGGGUCUCUAGCUGGCUGCUAUUGAAGA